rnacentral:rRNA from 1 species
UAGGGAAUAUUGGUCAAUGGGUGAGAGCCUGAACCAGCCAUGCCGCGUGCAGGAAGACGGCCUUCUGGGUUGUAAACUGCUUUUAUCUGGGGAUAAAAAGCCCAUGCGUGGGACAUUGAAGGUACCAGAUGAAUAAGCACCGGCUAACUACGUGCCAGCAGCCGCGGUAAUACGUAGGGUGCAAGCGUUGUCCGGAUUUAUGGGUUUAAAGGGUGCGUAGGCGGUCUAUUAAGUCAGUGGUGAAAUCCAACAGCUCAACUGUUGAUGUGCCAAUGAUACUGAUGGACUUGAGUACAGACGAGGUAGGCGGAAUUGACAGUGUAGCGGUGAAAUGCAUAGAUAUUGUCAAGAACACCGAUAGCGAAGGCAGCUUGCUAGCCUGUAACUGACGCUGAGGCACGA